CAGGAAGCAGCUUGCUGCUUCGCUGACGAGUGGCGGACGGGUGAGUAAUGUCUGGGAAACUGCCUGAUGGAGGGGGAUAACUACUGGAAACGGUGGCUAAUACCGCAUAACGUCGCAAGACCAAAGAGGGGGACCUUCGGGCCUCUUGCCAUCAGAUGUGCCCAGAUGGGAUUAGCUUGUUGGUGAGGUAACGGCUCACCAAGGCGACGAUCCCUAGCUGGUCUGAGAGGAUGACCAGCCACACUGGAACUGAGACACGGUCCAGACUCCUACGGGAGGCAGCAGUGGGGAAUAUUGCACAAUGGGCGCAAGCCUGAUGCAGCCAUGCCGCGUGUAUGAAGAAGGCCUUCGGGUUGUAAAGUACUUUCAGCGGGGAGGAAGGUGUUGUGGUUAAUAACCGCAGCAAUUGACGUUACCCGCAGAAGAAGCACCGGCUAACUCCGUGCCAGCAGCCGCGGUAAUACGGAGGGUGCAAGCGUUAAUCGGAAUUACUGGGCGUAAAGCGCACGCAGGCGGUCUGUCAAGUCGGAUGUGAAAUCCCCGGGCUCAACCUGGGAACUGCAUUCGAAACUGGCAGGCUUGAGUCUUGUAGAGGGGGGUAGAAUUCCAGGUGUAGCGGUGAAAUGCGUAGAGAUCUGGAGGAAUACCGGUGGCGAAGGCGGCCCCCUGGACAAAGACUGACGCUCAGGUGCGAAAGCGUGGGGAGCAAACAGGAUUAGAUACCCUGGUAGUCCACGCCGUAAACGAUGUCUACUUGGAGGUUGUGCCCUUGAGGCGUGGCUUCCGGAGCUAACGCGUUAAGUAGACCGCCUGGGGAGUACGGCCGCAAGGUUAAAACUCAAAUGAAUUGACGGGGGCCCGCACAAGCGGUGGAGCAUGUGGUUUAAUUCGAUGCAACGCGAAGAACCUUACCUGGUCUUGACAUCCACAGAAGAAUCCAGAGAUGGAUUGGUGCCUUCGGGAACUGUGAGACAGGUGCUGCAUGGCUGUCGUCAGCUCGUGUUGUGAAAUGUUGGGUUAAGUCCCGCAACGAGCGCAAC
rnacentral:rRNA from 1 species